rnacentral:rRNA from 1 species
CUUUCAACAACGGAUCUCUUGGUUCUGGCAUCGAUGAAGAACGCAGCGAAAUGCGAAAUGUAAUGUGAAUUGCAGAAUUCAGUGAAUCAUCGAAUCUUUGAACGCACAUUGCGCCCCUCGGUAUUCCGGGGGGCAUGCCUGUUCGAGCGUCA